CCUACGGGAGGCUGCAGUGAGGAAUAUUGGUCAAUGGACGAGAGUCUGAACCAGCCAAGUAGCGUGAAGGAUGACUGCCCUAUGGGUUGUAAACUUCUUUUAUAUGGGAAUAAAAUGUUCCACGUGUGGGAUUUUGUAUGUACCAUAUGAAUAAGGAUAGGCUAACUCCGUGCCAGCAGCCGCGGUAAUACGGAGGAUCCGAGCGUUAUCCGGAUUUAUUGGGUUUAAAGGGAGCGUAGGUGGAUUGUUAAGUCAGUUGUGAAAGUUUGCGGCUCAACCGUAAAAUUGCAGUUGAAACUGGCAGUCUUGAGUACAGUAGAGGUGGGCGGAAUUCGUGGUGUAGCGGUGAAAUGCUUAGAUAUCACGAAGAACUCCGAUUGCGAAGGCAGUUCACUGGACUGCAACUGACACUGAGGCUCGAAAGUGUGGGUAUCAAACAGGAUUAGAUACCCGUGUAGUC
rnacentral:rRNA from 1 species